rnacentral:rRNA from 1 species
CGCUCUCUGGAAAAUUUAUUAAACAUUUGAUUAAAUGUAUAUAGAGAGUCGGACCUGCCCGGUGACUAAUAUAUGUUAAACGGCCGCGGUACCCUGACCGUGCAAAGGUAGCAUAAUCAUUUGCCUCUUAAUUGGGGGCUAGUAUGAAUGGUUUGACGAGAACUAAGCUGUCUCUUUUUAAAUAUAUAAAAAUUAAUUUUUAGGUGAAGAGGCCUAAAUUUAGUUGAGGGACAAGAAGACCCCAUUGAGCUUUAGUGAUUUAGUAAAGUAUAUUAUGUAAACUGAGGGUUUACACUUUGUGAUUACAUUUUAAUGAAGAUGUUAUUUACUAAUAAAUCUUUAGUUGGGGCGACUAAGGAACAAAUAAAGCUUCCUUUAUUAAUGUAGUAACAUUUUAAUGAAAGCAAUUUAUUAAUAAUGAUCCAGUAUUUACUGAUUAAAGGAAAAAGUUACCAUGGGGAUAACAGCGUAAUCUUUCUAAAGAGUUCUUAUCGAAGGAAGGGUUUGCGACCUCGAUGUUGGACUAAGAUAUCCUAGGAAUGCAGAAGUUUCUAAAGGUUAGUCUGUUCGACUAUUAAAAUCUU